AUUCUGCAUUUCUUAGUACGGCGAGUGAACAGGAAAAGCUCAAAGUUGGAACCUGUUUGGCCUAGCUAAACCGGAUUGUAAACUGUAGAAGUGUUUUCCAGGCAAGCCGGACCGAUAAGUCCUUUGGAACAGGGCAUCAUAGAGGGUGAGAAUCCCGUCUUCGGUCUGAGCAUUUGCCUUUUGCGAUACACUUUCAAAGAGUCAGGUUGUUUGGGAAUGCAGCCUAAAUUGGGUGGUAAAUCUCACCUAAAGCUAAAUAUUGGCGAGAAACCGAUAGCGAACAAGUACCGUGAGGGAAAGAUGAAAAGAACUUUGAAAAGAGAGUUAAACAGUAUGUGAAAUUGUUAAAAGGGAACCGUUUGGAGCCAGACUGGCUUGUCUGUAAUCAGUCUAAGCUUCGGCUUGGAUGCACUUGCAGGCUAUGCCUGCCAACGACAAUUUGGCUUGAGGGAAAAAACUAAGGGAAAUGUGGCCCAUCCGCGGGUGUUAUAGUCCCUUAGAAAAUACCUUGGGCUGGAUUGAGGUACGCAGCGAAUGCUAUUUGGCGAGUUGGCUGGGAAUAUUUUCUGAGGUGCUUUGGUACUGAGGUUGAUAUUCCUAGUUACACUUCUAUUCGCUUAGGUUGUUGGCUUAAUGACUCUAAAUGACCCGUCUUGAAACACGGGAACCAAAA
rnacentral:rRNA from 1 species